AUCCUGUCUCCAUUCCUCUCAGCCGCAUCUCCAUGCAUGCAUCUCCAUCCCAUGAAAUCUCUGCCCACUCCAGCCCAUGAACAGCAGCUCACAGGGAUAGCCAUGUCUUCCUCCAAGCUGUAUGCAAGUGUGGGUCACAAGAUACCAGUCAUAAAGCGAUUGAAUAAAAAUGGUCGUCAGCUGCUGCCAGCUGAAAGAUUAUCUUUCACAGGAAGUGUCUAGAUGACAUUGUUUUAUGCAAAGGAAGAAGCUGAUUUUAUUGCAAGUUCAAACAGAAAGGAGUCUUCCACUAUCAAUGUGUUUCUCUGGAUUCAUUGUUGGAAUGAAUAAUGAAAGGGGAGAAGAAUAGACUCACUUGGUUGUUUGUCCUCAUGCAUAUUGAUUCAUAAAACUAAAGACCUCAAGGGAACAUUGUGAGCUAAAUCCCUUCAUCCCCCUGUCUCCAGGGAAGAAUUUACUUGGAUACUUCAAGACAGAAGGUCGACUGCACUUAACAGCCACCAUAAGAAACUCUGCCUCUUUCUUUAGCCGUGUGCCUCAGUGUCUUAUCAAUUCUUGCAGGCAGGCUGGUGAGACACUUCUUAGCAUUUAUGAGGACGGAUUUGGAUUCUGGAUUUCACACUGGCAGCUGAACCUAGACAGAAUAGCAGCACUGUGCAGCCAUUCUCACAGUUGUUGAUGGAUCUCGAUGCAUUACUUGCCUCAGUGGUGUGGCGUUUUGUAGUUUACAUCAGUGAUAAUCUGAUGCCCUGAGGAUGUCGAGU